ensembl:misc_RNA Metazoa_SRP Metazoan signal recognition particle RNA
GCUGGGUGUGGUGGCGCACACCUGUAGUCCCAGCUACUCAGGAGGCUGAGGCAGAAGAAUAGCUUGAACCCGGGAGGCGGAGGUUGCAGUGAGCAGAGAUCACACCACUGCACUCCAACCUGGGCAACAGAGUAAGAAUCUGUCUCAA